GACGAACGCUGGCGGCGUGCUUAACACGUGCAAGUCGAACGGAAAGGCCCUGCUUUUGUGGGGUGCUCGAGUGGCGAACGGGUGAGUAACACGUGAGUAACCUGCCCUUGACUUUGGGAUAACUUCAGGAAACUGGGGCUAAUACCGGAUAGGAGCUCCUGCUGCAUGGUGGGGGUUGGAAAGUUUCGGCGGUUGGGGAUGGACUCGCGGCUUAUCAGCUUGUUGGUGGGGUAGUGGCUUACCAAGGCUUUGACGGGUAGCCGGCCUGAGAGGGUGACCGGCCACAUUGGGACUGAGAUACGGCCCAGACUCCUACGGGAGGCAGCAGUGGGGAAUAUUGCACAAUGGGCGGAAGCCUGAUGCAGCAACGCCGCGUGCGGGAUGACGGCCUUCGGGUCGUAAACCGCUUUCGCCUGUGACGAAGCGUGAGUGACGGUAAUGGGUAAAGAAGCACCGGCUAACUACGUG
rnacentral:rRNA from 1 species